rnacentral:rRNA from 1 species
AGUGAACGCUGGCGGCAGGCCUAAUACAUGCAAGUCGAACGGCAGCACAGUGGAGCUUGCCCCAUGGUGGCGAGUGGCGGACGGGUGAGGAAUACAUGGGAAUCUGCCCAGUCGUGGGGGAUAACGUAUGGAAACGUACGCUAAUACCGCAUGCGCCCUUCGGGGGAAAGUCGGGGACCGCAAGGCCUGACGCGAUUGGAUGAGCCCAUGUUCGAUUAGCUAGUUGGCGGGUAACGGCCCACCAAGGCGACGAUCGAUAGCUGGUCUGAGAGGAUGAUCAGCCACACUGGAACUGAGACACGGUCCAGACUCCUACGGGAGCAGCAGUAGGGAAUAUUGGACAAUGGGCGCAAGCCUGAUCCAGCCAUGCCGCGUGAGUGAAGAAGGCCCUACGGGUU